rnacentral:rRNA from 1 species
UACGGAGGGUGCAAGCGUUGUUCGGAAUCAUUGGGCGUAAAGCGCGUGUAGGCGGCUUGGCAAGUCGGGUGUGAAAUCCCGGGGCCCAACCCCGGAACUGCAUUCGAAACUGCCUCGCUAGAGUCCCGGAGAGGAAGGCGGAAUUCCCGGUGUAGAGGUGAAAUUCGUAGAUAUCGGGAGGAACACCAGCGGCGAAGGCGGCCUUCUGGACGGUGACUGACGCUCAGACGCGAAAGCGUGGGGAGCAAACAGG